rnacentral:rRNA from 1 species
CCUACGGGAGGCAGCAGGGGGGAAUUUUGGACAAUGGGCGCAAGCCUGAUCCAGCAAUGCCGCGUGAGUGAAGAAGGCCUUCGGGUUGUAAAGCUCUUUUGUCAGGGAAGAAACGGUGAAGGCUAAUAUCCUUUGCUAAUGACGGUACCUGAAGAAUAAGCACCGGCUAACUACGUGCCAGCAGCCGCGGUAAU